GCAAUGCAAAAAGGACACCUGGCAGCAUCCAAACUCCAUGAACCCACCUUGAGAAGCAAGCAAGGAACAUUAUAUAUACAACAUGAACUUCACAUUGAAGGUAACUGAACAAUUCCAAGCAAAAUCACACUUAGAUACAAACUCAACUCUCGAUACAUUUUUUCUCCGAUUGCUAAUUCCCACACCGGAGGGGUUAUCCGGCCAACCCCGGCCGGGCAGCUCUAACGGUGUUUCCUGUGGUAGGAACCUCAGUCCUUGGAUAGUCCAACCGAGUGCGAAGCCCCGAUCCACUUUCAUCUAGUGCGGAAUCCGCAGAUGGAGCAAGAACAAAACUGCAUCCAAACUUGGUGGCCGGUGAUGGUAUUUGCAAAUCAAUGGUGGAGUCACAAGGCUAUGUUUGCGAACACCAUAAAGUA